UCCUAGUAGGAAAUUUAAGGGCGUAUGGUGGAUGCCUUGGCUAGAAAAAGCGAUGAAGGACGUGGCGUGGCGGCGAUACGCUUCGGGGAGGUGCCUAGCAACCUUUGAUCCGGAGAUGUCCGAAUGGGGAAACCCCAUCAGGUAUAACCUGAUGACCGACGCAGCAAUGCGCGGAGCGUACCCUGGGAAGUAAAACAUUUCAGUACCAGGAGGAAAAUAAACAAACAUGCAUUCCGUCAGUAGCGGCGAGCGAACGCGGAGAAGACUAAACUUAUUGUAGCAAUACAAUGAGGGUUGCGAGGCAGAGACGUGCCAUUUAUGGCAGAGAAGUUAUCAAAUCUUUUGUUAGCUUGAUGAGCUGGAAAGCUCGACCCUAGCAGGUGAUAGUCCUAUAAGCGAAAACACAAGAUCUUCUUUGUUUCUGUUCUCAAGUACCCCGGGACACGAAUAGCUCGGGGGAAUCCGCCGGAACUAACCGGCAAGUCUAAAUAUUUUUCUAGACCGAUAGUGAACAAGUACCGUGAGGGAAAGGUGAAAAGCAGCCCGGAAGGGCGGUGAAAUAGAUCUGAAACCAUAUGCCUACAAGGAGUCGGAGCGGUCAUCACACGGGGUGUGAUGACCGCAAGUCAAAGGUCAAAAUUCAAAGGUCAAAAUUUAGUCGCAUGUGCGAUUCCAUUUUGCAUUUUGCAUUUUGCAUUUUGAUUUGCGGUCAUCGUGCAUCGCGCGAUGACCGUGACGGCGUGCCUAUUGAAGAAUGAGCCAACGAGUUUAUGCAAGCUGCUCGACUAAGGACGAGAGUCCGGAGUCACAGGGAAACCGAGUCUGAACAGGGCGCUCGUAGUUUGCAUAAGACCCGAAGCCAGAUGAGCUUGCCACGCGCAGGGUGAAGUUCGCCGAAAGGCGAAUGGAGGCCCGAACCGUUUAGCCGUGCAAAACUAUCGGAUGACGUGUGGUAAGGAGUGAAAAGCUAAUCGAAUCUGGUAAUAGCUGGUUCUCUCCGAAAGAACUUUUGGGUUUGCGUCAGAUGUACCUCUGUGGGGUAGAGCACUGGAAGGUCUCGACAGGUCGAAAGACCGCGAGACCUAUCAAACUCCGAAUACACAGAGUCAUUAUCUGGCAGUUAGUCUGUGGGGGCUAAGCUCCACUGGACAAAAGGGAAACAGCCCAUGAUCUCUAUUUAAGGUCCCUAAAUUGACGUUAAGUGCGCUUAAGGUGGUGAAAUUUCUUUUACAAUGAGGAUGUAGGCUUAGAAGCAGCCAUCAUUCAAAGAUAGCGUAACAGCUCACUCAUCGAGAAAUUUCGCGCCGCAGAUAAUCGGGGCUAAAACGUCGUACCGAAACUGAGGACUGAAUGAUACUUCGGUAUUAUUCAUUGGUAGGAGAGUAUUCGCACUGCGAUGAAGGUGAAGGGGUGACCCACACUGGAGCGCUGCGAAGUAAGAAUGUUGGCACAAGUAACCGCAAUGCGGGUGAGAAUCCCGCACGCCGAAAAAUCAAGGUUUCCUUGGCAAUGUAUAUCAGCCAAGGGUUAGUCGGUCCUAAGGGGAUGGCGAACGCCGCACCCGAUGGAUACAUGGUUAAUAUUCCAUGACUUUUGUUUAUUGCGAUGGGAGGACGAAGUGUAGUAUGUUCUGCGCAUUAUGGAUUUGACGUUCGUAUUAUAAGGAUGGGUCCUGGUAAAUCCGGAUCCUGCUUUCAAUGGUGGUUCCAAGUAAUAUGAAAAUCUUUACCUUCGGGUAGGGGAAUAAAACAAAGCACACUUCCAAGAAAAGUCUCUAAGCAUAAAUAAACAAAAACCGUACCGCAAACCGACACAGGUGAUUAGGUCGAGUAGACCUAGGCGAACGAGUGAGUGGUCUCCAAGGAACUCGGCAAAAAAGCAGCCGUAACUUCGGAAUAAGGCUUGCCCUUUGUUAACUCAAGGGGCCGCAGCUAAAGUAUCUCUGGCAACUGUUUAUCAAAAACACAGCUCCCUGCGAACUCGUAAGAGGAAGUAUAGGGGGUGACACUUGACCAAUGCGAGAAGGUCAAAUAACGGCGUUCUUAUGUCGCAAGAUGUAAGGGUGACUGUUAUAAGCCCUCGUGAAUGUCGGUCGUAACUAUAACGAUCCUAAGGUAGCGCAAUUCCUUGUCGGGUAAGUUCCGACGCGUUGAAUAGUGUAAUGACUGGAGAACUGUCUCGGAGACCAGCUCGGUGAAAAUACAAUACCGGUGAAGAUGCCGGUUACCUGCAGUUAGACGAAAAGACCCUAGAAGCUUUACUGUAAUUUGAUAUUGACCAUACGUUCUUGAUGCGUAGCGUAGACGGUAGGAUUUGAAGCGUCCCUUUCGGGGGGCGUGGAUCCGACGAUGAAACACCGUUCUUUAAGCAUGUAUGUUCUAACCUCGGCGGAAUAAACGCCGGGAGACAGUAUCUGAUGGACAGUUUUAGUGGGGCGCUAUCCUCCUAAACAGUAACGGAGGAGCCUAAAGGUCAGCUAGCCGUGAAUGGAAACCAUGGCGAUAGUGUAUGGGCACAAGCUGGCUUGACUGCAAGACGUACGUGUCAAGCAGACGCGAAAGCGGAGCCAAGUGAACCGACCAUUCGCAUUAGAUGCGGUGGAAGAUUAUCGGACAAAAGCUACUCUAGGGAUAACAGGCUAGUUCCGCCUAAGAGUUCAUAUCGACGGCGGAGUUCGGCACCUCGAUGUCGGCUCACCACAUCCUGGGGGUGGAGAAGCUCCCAAAGGUUUGGCUGUUCGCCAAUUAAAGUGGUACGCGAGCUGGGUUCAGACCGUUCAGAAAAAGGAGAGGUAUGAGAUAGGAGAUAUGAGCCAUGAUUGUUGCAACUGCGAUUUUCGUAUCUCAUAGCUCUUAUCUCAUAUCUCCUGUUCUGGGCAGUCUGAAUCACUUCGAGAAACUUUUCGUGAAAUAGUCAUAUCGGGUCCUUUAAGCCCGGUGUGAUAACAGAUGCAAAUUCCGAUCGAGCGCACAGAAAUGCGCUUGUGAGGAUGAGGAAUGAUCAAUCAACCACGGCGGUCGCAUAGAGCAAUCUAUGUUGAUCAAGUCGAUUAGUAUCGGUGGAGUCCAUUUAAAGUGGAUGAUACCGAGGGAAGGUUACGAAUAAUAAUCACCCGUAGAGACUAAACAUCGACGUUCCAUAUUCAAGGGGAAUAGGGAAUAAGCUAUAGUCCAAUGCACAAAGUAAUUUGUGGUAACAUGCGUGAGACAGGUUGGUCUCCUAUCUGCUGUAGGCGUUGAUACUUGAGGGGCUUUGACUCUAGUACGAGAGGACCGAGUUGAACGAACCUCUGGUCUACCUGCUGUCCUGCCAAGGGCACCGCAGGGUAGCUAAGUUCGGACCGGAUAACCGCUGAAAGCAUAUAAGCGGGAAGCCGACCCCAAGAUUAGGUAUCGUUGAGACCCGUAAGAGAUGAUUACGUUGAUAGGCUUUAGGUGUACGCACCGCAAGGUGUUGAGCCGUGAAGUACUAAUCCGUCGAUCUUACUAGGAAC
rnacentral:rRNA from 1 species